GAUGAACGCUGGCGGCGUGCCUAAUACAUGCAAGUCGAGCGAAUGGAUUAAGAGCUUGCUCUUAUGAAGUUAGCGGCGGACGGGUGAGUAACACGUGGGUAACCUGCCCAUAAGACUGGGAUAACUCCGGGAAACCGGGGCUAAUACCGGAUAACAUUUUGAACCGCAUGGUUCGAAAUUGAAAGGCGGCUUCGGCUGUCACUUAUGGAUGGACCCGCGUCGCAUUAGCUAGUUGGUGAGGUAACGGCUCACCAAGGCAACGAUGCGUAGCCGACCUGAGAGGGUGAUCGGGCAAGCUGGGACUGAGACACGGCCCAGACUCCUACGGGAGGCAGCAGUAGGGAAUCUUCCGCAAUGGACGAAAGUCUGACGGAGCAACGCCGCGUGAGUGAUGAAGGCUUUCGGGUCGUAAAACUCUGUUGUUAGGGAAGAACAAGUGCUAGUUGAAUAAGCUGGCACCUUGACGGUACCUAACCAGAAAGCCACGGCUAACUACGUGCCAGCAGCCGCGGUAA
rnacentral:rRNA from 1 species